GGGGGUGUACUGGAUUCGACGGGAUGAGUAACACCGCAGGUUGCAUGUCGAGGAUGUCCAAUGGUUCUCGUAAAACAUCCAUUAUGGAUACAAAAUAAUUGACAACAAUUAUUCAUACCGCUUAGCAGCUUAAACUGCUUCGCCGUUCCUCUGGUUAAGUGCCUGUCAUUGCCAGACUGAACGCCAUACAAGAUAGGAUAGCGUAACUCGGUUUUCUGUCUUAGUUGCGUGAAUCUUUACAGAAUAGUGAGAAGUCGCUUGGUUGCUGGGCUCGGCUUCUUGCGAAAUUUAAUCAGCAGCUAAACAUGUAGAUAUUUGCAGGUUUACCUUUUCGGACCGGGGUUCGACUCCCCGCACCUCCACAA
rnacentral:tmRNA from 1 species